UACGAAGGGGGCUAGCGUUGCUCGGAAUCACUGGGCGUAAAGCGCACGUAGGCGGCCUCUUAAGUCGGUGGUGAAAUCCUGGAGCUCAACUCCAGAACUGCCUUCGAUACUGAGAGUCUCGAGUCCGGGAGAGGUGAGUGGAACUGCGAGUGUAGAGGUGAAAUUCGUAGAUAUUCGCAAGAACACCAGUGGCGAAGGCGGCUCACUGGCCCGGUACUGACGCUGAGGUGCGAAAGCUAGGGGAGCGAACGGG
rnacentral:rRNA from 1 species